GAUGAAGAACGUAGCGAAAUGCGAUAAGUAAUGCGAAUUGCAGAAUUCCGUGAGUCAUCGAAUCUUUGAACGCACAUUGCGCCCUCUGGUAUUCCGGAGGGCAUGCCUGUCUGAGCGUCAUUGUCAACCCUCAAGCUCAGCUUGCUGUUGGGUCCCCGUCGUUGCUUUAACGGCGGACCCGAAAGGUAAUGGCAGAGUCCGUGAGACCCUAGACGCAGCGAGCUUCUAGCACGCGUCUGGACGUUUUUCGGGCUCGGUCUUAACUAGAUGAUAACUUCCGAUUGACCUCAGAUCAGGUAGGGAUACCCGCUGAGCUUAAGCAUAUCAAUAAGCGGAGGA
rnacentral:misc_RNA from 1 species